rnacentral:rRNA from 1 species
GUGACCUCGGAUCAGGUAGGAUCCCAGUUU